GUCACCUGGUGAGGUGUUCUGGGGUCUGGAGGGCUGUUUUCCUCUCUAGUCACCUGGUGAGGUGUUCUGGGGUCUGGAGGGCUGUUUUCCUCUCUAGUCACCUGGUGAGGUGUUCUGGGGUCUGGAGGGCUGUUUUCCUCUCUAGUCACCUGGUGAGGUGUUCUGGGGUCUGGAGGGCUGUUUUCCUCUGUUUUCCUCUCUAGUCACCUGGUGAGGUGUUCUGGGGUCUGGAGGGCUGUUUUCCUCUCUAGUCACCUGGUGAGGUGUUCUGGGGUCUGGAGGGCUGUUUUCCUCUGUUUUCCUCUCUAGUCACCUGGUGAGGUGUUCUGGGGUCUGGAGGGCUGUUUUCCUCUCUAGUCACCUGGUGAGGUGUUCUGGGGUCUGGAGGGCUGUUUUCCUCUGUUUUCCUCUCUAGUCACCUGGUGAGGUGUUCUGGGGUCUGGAGGGCUGUUUUCCUCUCUAGUCACCUGGUGAGGUGUUCUGGGGUCUGGAGGGCUGUUUUCCUCUCUAGUCACCUGGUGAGGUGUUCUGGGGUCUGGAGGGCUGUUUUCCUCUGUUUUCCUCUCUAGUCACCUGGUGAGGUGUUCUGGGGUCUGGGGGGCUGUUUUCCUCUGUUUUCCUCUCUAGUCACCUGGUGAGGUGUUCUGGGGUCUGGAGGGCUGUUUUCCUCUAGUCAUCUGGUGAGGUGUUCUGGGGUCUGGAGGGCUGUUUUCCUCUCUAGUCACCUGGUGAGGUGUUCUGGGGUC